GUGGCUCAACAGUGAAGAGCUCUGGCUGCUCUUCCAGAGGACCUGGGUUCAAUUCCCAGC
rnacentral:tRNA from 1 species